UGAUGUUAGCGGCGGACGGGUGAGUAACACGUGGGUAACCUGCCUGUAAGACUGGGAUAACUCCGGGAAACCGGGGCUAAUACCGGAUGGUUGUUUGAACCGCAUGGUUCAAACAUAAAAGGUGGCUUCGGCUACCACUUACAGAUGGACCCGCGGCGCAUUAGCUAGUUGGUGAGGUAACGGCUCACCAAGGCAACGAUGCGUAGCCGACCUGAGAGGGUGAUCGGCCACACUGGGACUGAGACACGGCCCAGACUCCUACGGGAGGCAGCAGUAGGGAAUCUUCCGCAAUGGACGAAAGUCUGACGGAGCAACGCCGCGUGAGUGAUGAAGGUUUUCGGAUCGUAAAGCUCUGUUGUUAGGGAAGAACAAGUACCGUUCGAAUAGGGCGGUACCUUGACGGUACCUAACCAGAAAGCCACGGCUAACUACGUGCCAGCAGCCGCGGUAAUACGUAGGUGGCAAGCGUUGUCCGGAAUUAUUGGGCGUAAAGGGCUCGCAGGCGGUUUCUUAAGUCUGAUGUGAAAGCCCCCGGCUCAACCGGGGAGGGUCAUUGGAAACUGGGGAACUUGAGUGCAGAAGAGGAGAGUGGAAUUCCACGUGUAGCGGUGAAAUGCGUAGAGAUGUGGAGGAACACCAGUGGCGAAGGCG
rnacentral:rRNA from 1 species